rnacentral:rRNA from 1 species
CAUCCUGCCGGACCUGACUGCUAUCGGAUUGAUACUAAGCCAUGCGAGUCAUUGUAGUAAUACAAGGCAGACGGCUCAGUAACGCGUAGUCAACCUAACCUAUGGACGGGAAUAACCUCGGGAAACUGAGUAUAAUGCCCGAUAGAACAUUAUGCCUGGAAUGGUUUAUGUUCCAAAUGAUUUAUCGCCGUAGGAUGGGACUGCGGCCUAUCAGUUUGUUGGUGAGGUAAUGGCCCACCAAGACUAUUACAGGUACGGGCUCUGAGAGGAGUAGCCCGGAGAUGGGUACUGAGACACGGACCCAGGCCCUAUGGGGCGCAGCAGGCGAGAAAACUUUGCAAUGUGCGAAAGCACGACAAGGUUAAUCCGAGUGGUUUCUGCUAAAGGAACCUUUUGUCGGUCCUAGAAACACCGAUGAAUAAGGGGUGGGCAAGUUCUGGUGU